rnacentral:sRNA from 1 species
GUGCAGACCCGCGUGUGGCGCAGGCAAGGACCCUCAAAAUAAACAGCCUCUACCUUGCGAGCCGUCUUCCCCAGGCCUGCGUCCGAGUCUCCGCCGCUGCGGGCCCGCUCCGACGCGGAAGAUCUGACUGCAGCCAUGAGCAGCAAUGAGUGCUUCAAGUGUGGACGAUCUGGCCACUGGGCCCGGGAAUGUCCUACUGGUGGAGGCCGUGGUCGUGGAAUGAGAAGCCGUGGCAGAGGUGGUUUUACCUCGGAUAGAGGUAUUUUGUCGAAUAGAAAAAUUUGAAGUACUUCAGUAUUUGUUAGUAUCAAGACUGGUCUGACUAGCCGAAUUCUUUGUUUUUGCUCAAAACAGGUUUCCAGUUUGUUUCCUCGUCUCUUCCAGACAUCUGUUAUCGCUGUGGUGAGUCUGGUCAUCUUGCCAAGGAUUGUGAUCUUCAGGAGGAUGGUAAGUAUUUAACACUUCCUUUUCAUACCCCUCUAGAGCUUGGAGAGGUGAGCACAUGCAACUGUGUAUAGCAUUUCCACCUUUGAGGUUUUGUAUUGUAUAAUUUAAAACGUAACACUUUGUAAAGGUUUUAUAGUCUUGGCCUGUUUCUUUUUUCCUUAUUGUUGAAGCCUGCUAUAACUGCGGUAGAGGUGGC